UGAUACCUGGCGGCAGCAGGGAGGGGCAGGGCUGGGAGGCAGGACUGCAUCCAUCCGUGUUGAACAGGCUCCGCCCCCGCCCCACUCUCAGGAGUCCCUGGAGCUCUCGGUUCUGGUUCCCUCCAUCCUUACCCUACUCACCUCUCCUCCUCCUCACUAAUGGGACCGAUUGCCCCCGAGAUGCCUGGAAGGCACUGUACUCUCUCCGCAUCUCACUUCCAGCCCUUUGCAUGUUCUGUCUGGAACAUCCUUCCUCCUCCUCUUCCUUAAUUCCUACUUACCUUUGCCUUCUCUGCUUUGAACUUAUCUUUGCCUAUACAGAAUCAUCGCCUAACCUCCAUGCUGGCCUAGCAGCCCCUGACCACCCACAGUGCCCAGCGCAGCUACUGGCCCAUCCUGGGCUCCCGGGCUGAGUCUUGGUAGGAGCCUAGAGCUGCUGCCCCAAGAGUGACAAAUGAAGGCCACAGGGUCUGGCCAAGCACCCCAAACUUGCUGUUCACGGAUCAGCCUCAGGAGGACCCCUCACCACAAGUCUCCUUUGACCUUGGAGUCCACCACCGGCAUACACAGGACUCUGUAUCAUGGGGCUGGAAGUCCCCACUGUAAU